ensembl:lncRNA
AAAAAAUAUACUGGAUGGUUCAGAGUUCUUUUUAUCAGCUUAAAUAUGAAGUCACUGCAGUUCAGCAUCAGAGGACACAGAAAACAAAAACAAAACCCUUUAACUUGUUUCGAGAAACUGCUUGUUAAAAGUUCUUUUCCUCUCCACUCCUCAAUUGGUAUUUUCAUAAUGCGUUAGCUUCAAUGACAGAAAAGUUAAAAAAUUAUCUAUAUGUAUUUUUCUACUUGUCUUAUGGCUAGAAUUUAAAAAAUUAUAAGACUUAUCAAGAAUUCUGUGUUAGGUGGUUGGUGGUUUGGGGCCCUUCCCUGAGCUGAAUGAGUGCACAAAGCACAGCUGCCUUGACCUGGUGUUUUCCUUACUUCUUUGGGACGUUAACCACCCAAUGACUGAGUGCUUAUAUUAGCAAUGACGGGAGCUGUGCUCACUAAUAUUUGUCCUUAUGUUCCUUCCAUGGUAUGAAUUCUUGUUACUGCUUGUUGCUGGUUUAGUAGAAAACAUCAGUGAGAACAGCUUUGAACCAAAUGUUAGCCAUUUUCUCCAUGAUUCUUUGAGCUUAUAUUCAGCUGUGUGAUCUAGCCUAGAUCAUGAAGACAUGUUAGCCUGAAAUUAUCGCAAUAAUUUCAUUUCAAAUAGGACCAGACACCAUUCAAGACGUUGGGGAGUCAAGCAUGAACAAAACCAAGACCUUGUUAUACAGAAAAUAAAGCAGGGUUUAGGGAUAGGAUGUAACUGGAAUCAUUAUUUUAGAUAACAUGGUUGGAGUGUUUCUCGAACACUUUCUAUAGCAGCACAAUCAGUUUUAAAAAGGAGGCACACACUUUAGCUAAAUUAUUUUUAAGGAAAUGACUUCAUAUUUGCAACAGUUAGAUGUUGUUGCAAAGCAGUGGUUCUUGAACUGUAGCAUGUAUCAGAAUCAGCUAUGCUACUGCAUGCCAGGUCGAUUCAGUCCUGUCCAGCUCUUUGCGACCCAAUGGACUGUAGCCCACCAGGCUCCUCUGUCCUUGGGAUUUCCAAGGCAAGAACACUGGAGUAGAUUUCUAUUCCCUUUUCCACAUAAUCACCUACAGGGCUUAUUAAAACCCAGCUUGCUGGGACCUCCCCAGAGUUUCUGAUUCAGUGAAUCUGGGUAAAGUCUGAGAAUGUCAAUUUCUUAUAAGUUGCUAGUGAUGUUGAUGCUUGGAUCUAGGGCCAUUGCUGUAAAGAAAUUUUUUAAAGAUCACUUCAAAAAGAUUAAAACAAACAAAAACCAGCUGACCUGAUGGCAUGCAAAUAAUUCUUGUGAUUUAGGACUGAGUUUUUAACAAUAAAAAUCUUACAUUCAAAAAAGGGAUAUAUUUCAAAAAGUUGGAGGUGACAAUAAUGUACUUUGAAAAAUGAUGUUAAGCAACACAGAAGGUAGCUUCAGUGAUUAAUUAAAUACCUUGAAUGAAAGACUUGAUGUUGAAAAUAAGCAUGAAGAGUCUGAAUAAAAUUAUUUAUGAAAUGUGUUAAAGAAGCUCAAUUCAACUGACCCUUAAACAUGGGCAGAGGGAUCAGGACCUAGUCCUAAUUCUUCUAAUUAACUCAAAGUUCACAUAGAAGAAUAAUAUGUAACACUUCCAGUUGAAGGAUUAUAAUGUCAUUAAUUUAUAAUAUUACCUAAUGAUAUUUUUGUGUCUAUAUUUAACCUAAAGGAGAACUAGAUAGUAUAAUAAUAUUUAAAGAAUUUAAAAUUAUUUGGAGUAAUGAUAUGACCAAUAAGGAAUUAAUAUCCAAUGUAUAUAAACAGCUCAUAUAACUCAAUGUCAAAAAACCAAGCAACCUGAUUAAAAAAUGGGUCGGAAUGUGUUAUGUUACUUCUAUGGUAAUAAAAUAAGAAAUUAGGUCAGGUUGGGGAACAUGUGUAUGCUCAUG